GACCAGACAGCCAGCGCCGCGCGGGGGGGGGCGGCGUUAUGCUGCUCCCCGUUGUCGCCCGGAUACGGCGGCUUGGCUGCGGCAAAGACACCUGAUGGGAAAGGUGGGGAAUGCUCAGUCCUUCCAGCUCAUUUUCAGGCAGAAUGAAGCAGACUCAAAUGCAGCUGCAAAGGACAGUCAGAUGCUCACGAAGAGGAGCUGCCAGGCCAGCGAUUGGCUCUCUUGAACAAAUGGCAUGAGUAUGAGGAAGGAUCGAGGCCUUUUUCACCUUUCCCACUCCGUUAUAUCUGCUGGAUGAAGUGAAGACAUUGGAAGAGGAACACUACCACCAGAAGAAAGGCAUUUGGACAGAAGAAGACACUUAUUCUUCACUUGCUUUGACAAGGACUAUUCCCACCAUGACUGAAAUUCAAGACUUUUCUUCAAGUCAUGGGAAAGUAAAGCUUUUCAAAAGAGAUGACACCUUACUGCAAGAAAACAAAAAAAUCAACUGCCCCAAAACAAGAAAAAAAAGAAUAAAAAACUCUCAGCCCCAAAUCCUGAACAAACUUCAACUUACUAUUCUUCAACUAGCCAUGCUACCCAUCUAAAAUUUAUUCCUUUUGAGAAGUGACCUACCUUAUUCUCCAUCCAUUCUUGUGCUUCUUUUUGCAAGAUGUCUUGACAGAUCAUUGUGGAUACAGCUGAGAGGGCAAAAGGGCAUCAAAUUGAUGAGCAAAACUAAUUACUUAGACUUAAGAUGAAAGAGGGUAGACAAUGUAAACCAGAUCAUUGCUUUUGCUUAUAAAUGUAAAUUAUCGCUAUCCCCUGUACCCUCAAAAACAAUUAAGACAUUGUCUCAUGAAUAAAGGACCUCAGCUGUCAUAACUGCUAAGCAAGGAGUGAGGUUAGAAGGACAGAAGAACAAAGAUAAGAACUAAAUAACUGGAAGAUGGUGAGAGAGACUGAAGAGGGAGCUGGAAGAGGAGAUGUGGAAUCAUCCUAGAAUCUGCUUGCUCAGCUGAGGAACUGACUAGAAUGAGGAAGAAAAGAGAGCUGAGCCAAGUCAUUGCCAUUUAGUAAGCACACUGGAUGGACCACUCUCAUCCAUUAGUUCUCUUCUGCACUGAUCAAAGCUGUUCCAGUUACACUUCAUAGUGCUCAUCUCAAACAAAGCCAAAGUCAGCAAACCAUUUAAGCAAGGGCUUAAAAGUUCAUUUUUACUCUUCAUUUAAUAAAGUUUACACAACAUUGAAUCAA